rnacentral:rRNA from 1 species
CCUACGGGUGGCAGCAGUGAGGAAUAUUGGUCAAUGGACGAGAGUCUGAACCAGCCAAGUAGCGUGAAGGAUGACUGCCCUAUGGGUUGUAAACUUCUUUUAUAUGGGAAUGAAAUGUUCCACGUGUGGGAUUUUGUAUGUACCAUAUGAAUAAGGAUCGGCUAACUCCGUGCCAGCAGCCGCGGUAAUACGGAGGAUCCGAGCGUUAUCCGGAUUUAUUGGGUUUAAAGGGAGCGUAGGUGGAUUGUUAAGUCAGUUGUGAAAGUUUGCGGCUCAACCGUAAAAUUGCAGUUGAAACUGGCAGUCUUGAGUACAGGAGGGGCAGGCGGAAUUCCUGGUGUAGCGGUGAAAUGCGUAGAUAUCAGGAGGAACACCGACGGCGAAGGCAGCCUGCUGGACUGAAACUGACGUUGAGGCUCGAAAGCGUGGGGAGCAAACAGGAUUAGAUACCCGGGUAGUC